rnacentral:rRNA from 1 species
UACGUAGGGUGCAAGCGUUGUCCGGAAUUAUUGGGCGUAAAGGGCUCGUAGGCGGUCUGUCGCGUCUGCUGUGAAAACUCGGGGCUUAACUCCGGGCCUGCAGUGGGUACGGGCAGACUAGAGUGCGGUAGGGGAGACUGGAAUUCCUGGUGUAGCGGUGAAAUGCGCAGAUAUCAGGAGGAACACCGGUGGCGAAGGCGGGUCUCUGGGCCGUAACUGACGCUGAGGAGCGAAAGCGUGGGGAGCGAACAGG